rnacentral:snRNA from 1 species
AUCCUUUCAGCAAUACAUAUAUACUGAAAUUGGAACGAUACAGAGAAGAUUAGCUCUGCCCCUGCACAAGGAUGACACACACAUUUGUGAAGCCUUCUUUAUUUGU